AGAGCACAAGGGGCUGUGUGGGGGAAGGGGGAUUGGUCCUGGCCACAAUAAAGAAUGAAAUUUGGUCACAAGAAAAAAUGCCUGGAAGGAACUCCAGAGAAAUCCACUGACCCUUUAUGUGCUGAUGCUGGCCUUCUUCCACAUGAAGUGGUGACUUUGCCUUCCU